CAUAUCAAUAAGCGGAGGAAAAGAAACCAACAGGGAUUGCCCUAGUAACGGCGAGUGAAGCGGCAACAGCUCAAAUUUGAAAUCUGGCCUCGGCCCGAGUUGUAAUUUGCAGAGGAAGCUUUAGGCGCGGCACCUUCUGAGUCCCCUGGAACGGGGCGCCAUAGAGGGUGAGAGCCCCGUAUAGUUGGAUGCCUAGCCUGUGUAAAGCUCCUUCGACGAGUCGAGUAGUUUGGGAAUGCUGCUCAAAAUGGGAGGUAAAUUUCUUCUAAAGCUAAAUACCGGCCAGAGACCGAUAGCGCACAAGUAGAGUGAUCGAAAGAUGAAAAGCACUUUGAAAAGAGGGUUAAAUAGCACGUGAAAUUGUUGAAAGGGAAGCGCUUGUGACCAGACUUGCGCCGGGCUGAUCAUCCGGUGUUCUCACCGGUGCACUCUGCCCGGCUCAGGCCAGCAUCGGUUCUCGCGGGGGGAUAAAGGCCCAGGGAACGUAGCUCCUCCGGGAGUGUUAUAGCCCUGGGUGUAAUGCCCUCGCGGGGACCGAGGUUCGCGCAUCUGCAAGGAUGC
rnacentral:rRNA from 1 species